CGCUAUAAAUUUGGACUUCAAAUGAUCCGUUAUCAGCGAGAGCUUCGACUUUACAGCUUUGCUUUCAUAAUUGCUGCUAUUGUUGAGAAUACGUUUCACAACAGGAUCAUGUUGUCAAUUAUAAGAAUAUUUCCAUCAGUAUAACUAGUAUAAAUAGCUAUUUAUGGUAUUUAUGUAUAUAUCUCUUAGUUUUUUUUAAUUUUGGAAAAAAAUGAUAAGAAGUUUGAUAAUCAGUACUGGGACCAUUUUUAAAAAUUUUAUGCGUAAUUGCUCUUUGUGAUGUGUCAAAAAUAUUGCAAUUUGUUCUGUUUGCAGACGACACCAAUUUUCUUUUUGAUCUGGGAGAAACUUGGAUACAUUAGUCUCUACGAUCGAGCAAGAAAUCAUUUUACUUUAGAAAUAGUUCAAUAGAAACAAACUGUCUCUCAAUUAAAAAAAAAAAAAAAGCUUAUGUUGUUCAGUAAAAAAAAUGUGUUGUGUCUGAGCAUGAGGAUCCAGACCAGAGGGCUGUGGAGGGUCUGGAGCUGCUGAGAUCAGACCAAACCCUGAAUGAGAGAAAUUCACCGUGGAAGGAAAGCUUGGUGAGUCCCCUCCUCGACGACGGACCCCUGCUCCAAGAAGAUGAUGUGAUCCGCCUUCUCCAGAAUCUUCAGCUGAUGAGUCACGAUCAGGACCGUGCGCCUCUGAGAAAGAACUUCCUUCAGCACCUGAGGAGAGGCGCACAAAUAGUUACUAUAUAUGUGUAUAGACAAAACACCAGAAACAUUAAAACCCUUAGGAAAGAAAUAAGAUUUUUGCUUCACAGACUGUUUUUAAAACAUAUAAUGAAAGUUCUAGGUGUAAUUUCAUAAAAACAAGAAGAAAAAAAA